rnacentral:misc_RNA from 1 species
UCUCCGUAGGUGAACCUGCGGAGGGAUCAUCAUUGUAUUAUCGAGGUGCGAGGCCUGUGGCUGCCCCGCUAGGUUGCGCACGCCCGAGUGCCCGCACACCCACCCCUCUGACCCCUCUGUGCCCCACCGCGUGCCUGCCCACUAGGCUUGUUUGGUGGGGGGCCUCCGCUGUCUCGCAUACUUAGUAUGAAGUGUAGCAUUCAUUUUUUGUUUUUGUGAUCCCGCCAUCAAUACAACACUCAACAACGGAUCCCAUGGCUCUCGCAACGUUGAAGAACC